rnacentral:rRNA from 1 species
CCUACGGGGAGCAGCAGUGAGGAAUAUUGGUCAAUGGGCGAGAGCCUGAACCAGCCAAGUCGCGUGAAGGAUGAAGGAUCUAUGGUUUGUAAACUUCUUUUAUAUGGGAAUAAAGUGAGGCACGUGUUCCUUUUUGUAUGUACCAUAUGAAUAAGCAUCGGCUAACUCCGUGCCAGCAGCCGCGGUAAUACGGAGGAUGCGAGCGUUAUCCGGAUUUAUUGGGUUUAAAGGGUGCGUAGGUGGUUAAUUAAGUAAGCGGUGAAAGGUUGUGGCUCAACCAUAAAAUUGCCGUUGAAACUGGUUGACUUGAGUAUAUUUGAGGUAGGCGGAAUGCGUGGUGUAGCGGUGAAAUGCAUAGAUAUCACGCAGAACUCCGAUUGCGAAGGCAGCUUACGAAACUAUAACUGACACUGAAGCACGAAAGCGUGGGGAUCAAACAGGAUUAGAUACCCCUGUAGUC